GAUGAACGCUAGCGGCAGGCUUAAUACAUGCAAGUCGAACGUUUGUUCCCGCUUCGGUUGGAGCAAAGUGGCGAACGGGUGAGUAACACGUAUGUAACCUACCCUUAACUGGGAGAUAGCUUCGAGAAAUCGAAAUUAAUACCCCAUAAUAUCCAAUAACGGCAUCAUUAAUGGAUUAAAACUCUGGUGGUUAAGGAUGGACAUGCGGCCCAUUAGCUAGUUGGUAGAGGUAAAGGCCUACCAAGGCUACGAUGGGUAGCUGGUCUGAGAGGAUGAUCAGCCACACUGGCACUGAGACACGGGCCAGACUCCUACGGGAGGCAGCAGUAGGGAAUAUUGGGCAAUGGGCGAAAGCCUGACCCAGCCAUGCCGCGUGCAGGAUUGACAGCUCUAUGAGUUGUAAACUGCUUUUGUUUGGGAAGAAAAAGUCCCUCUUUAGGGAAACUGACGGUACCAGACGAAUAAGGACCGGCUAACUACGUGCCAGCCGCCGCGGUAAUAC
rnacentral:rRNA from 1 species